rnacentral:lncRNA from 1 species
UGUUCUUGAACAAUUGAGAGGUCUUUCCUUUUCGAAAUGUAAAGUACAUGUUCCAAUAGGCGUAGAAUGCAUUGAAAAGCUCUCAAACACACAUAAAACCGCUAAAAAAUGACAAAAACAAUAAAUUCGAUAAUUUGGACAUGACCUUGACUUUUGACCUUGUGACCUUUGUGAAGGUCAUUGGUCCACAAUGUCAUUGUAAAAGACUCCAUGGGUCUAGGACUUUUCGUUCAAG